UACAGAUUGAAGAACUAAAGUAAAGAAAGACUGUUGUCAAGAUUCCCGAACAUGCAUAAAACAAGAUUCCACAGGCCAUGUGGGGGCCAUAAAAUGAGGAGCACGCAAUCACCUAGGAGAAGUCUGAUUUAAGGGACCACUGUAAUUGGACACUGACCGUGUAACACAGAAACUCUGUAGCAGAAGUAAGGGGAAAACUGAACUCUUCUAGGUUGGAACAUAUUUAAGCUGCUAUGCAAACGCAGAACUGCCUUUUGGAAAGUCAGCAAAGGCAUUCCUCUCAUCAGUUGCAUCAUGGGCUUCCAGGAUUUCUGCAUUUUUAAAGCCUCUCGAAUGUGGUCCUACAGGGUGCGGCUACUUUGGCCUUGAUCUACCGAUGCACUUAAGCAUAAUGGUGGGAUCUAUUCACCAAUAGCACUUAUAUGCCAAUGCACUAGGCUUUCUAUAAUUAUGAGCUGUAAUUGACAGGGCAAUGGAGCAAUAUUAAGAAGCAGUUAGAACCCAGGAUCACCCCAGCAGUAGGGAAGAGAAACCUUCAGGGCUUUUCUGAAAACAAUCUGAGAGUUGUUGUGAAGGUUACACUACAAUACAGUCCAAAAUCUGAAAGAUAAGGAAUAGCUCUCGUCAGAGGAAAUGAAUAUUUAAGUGGAAUUUGCUUAUUUAUUUUUCAAUGUUAAUGGCUUUCAAUUUUCUGUUAUUGUAGACUGCUUUACUGUGUUGGAUCAAGUGGUUUGCAUAGUAAGGUAAGUGUCAUUCUCCUCCUUUUACAUUGGAUUGGCAUGGAGAGCUGAGAUGACUUGACCAAGCUCACUUACAGAUCACAGCAUAGCCAGGCUUUGAAUCCUAAAGAAAGGCAAGUGAACAAUAGUUCUUGUGUGACAAACACACUAUGAAAGGAAGGAGUGUUCAGUGAUGCAUUGUUUAGGGGACCCAAACUGAUGAGCGUUUGUUGAAUGAUAGUGCAGAUAGGAUGGUUCUUGAGCAAAGCAUAGGUACCUGGGUAAAUUUAAUGUUUUAGAAGACGUAUAGGUUAUAAAUA